AGGGAAGUGAUGAUUAUUUCCCCAGAUGAUCGAAGCUGAAAUAACUGAGCUAAUUUUCUCAUUCUUGAGAAUCCAAGCCAGAAUUCUGAUCCUG